UACGUAGGUGGCAAGCGUUGCCCGGAUUUACUGGGUGUAAAGGGUGCGCAGGCGGAUAGACAAGUCAGGUGUGAAAUUUAUGGGCUUAACCCAUAAACUGCACUUGAAACUGUUUAUCUUGAGUACAGGAGAGGUAAGCGGAAUUCCCGGUGUAGCAGUGAAAUGCGUAGAGAUCGGGAGGAACACCAGUGGCGAAGGCGGCUUACUGGUCUGUAACUGACGCUGAGGCACGAAAGUGUGGGGAGGAAACAGG
rnacentral:rRNA from 1 species